rnacentral:rRNA from 1 species
UACAGAGGUCCCAAGCGUUGUUCGGAUUCACUGGGCGUAAAGGGUGUGUAGGUGGCGCCGUAAGUCGGGUGUGAAAUUUCGGAGCUUAACUCCGAAACUGCAUUCGAUACUGCGGUGCUUGAGGACUGGAGAGGAGACUGGAAUUCAUGGUGUAGCAGUGAAAUGCGUAGAGAUCAUGAGGAAGACCAGUGGCGAAGGCGGGUCUCUGGACAGUUCCUGACACUGAGGCGCGAAAGCGUGGGGAGCGAACGGG